UCAGUCUCCGCCUCUCAGCUGUAGGGCAGGUGGCGGGGCUUCCAGAGAGGCCUCUGGGCAGGCCUCCCUGAAGCCUGAACUCAAGUGCCGGCAGGCAGGGUGGCCAGCGCUGGCUGCCCUUGCCCACCACAGCUCUGCCCAGCUUUUGACUCCUCAAGCUUAGUAAUGGAGACCACUGGAGAAGAAGGAGAAAAGGAGAAAAAUCCUCACAAUUAACUGAAAGGGGAGAAACAGUCAAAGGAGCUGCAUGGUCUGGAAUCUCAUUAAAAGAUGAAAAACUUUAAGACUGCAAAUGCAUUUCAAAAGAAACUGCAAUGCCUGCAGUACCUAGCCGGAUCAGAAGAAUAAGUAAGUUCCAAGAACUUUCAUGGGGCAAUUUGGUGAUCAGGUAAUUAAGUUCACUCUGGCUUUCCUAAAGCAAAAAGAAUCAGCUGCUCAGUAUUUGGCUCCCAUCCUGCCACAUGCUUCCCUCUAAGGAACCACUAUUUUAAGAAACAGCAGUACUGGAAGCAUUCCGUAUGUUAACAAGAGUCAGCUAGAGGGCGACUUUAGAUAAAAAAGGAAGAGCAGAAGGCAUCAUUCUUCUCACUUGAGAAAGGAAGAGGAAGGAAAGCAGGUGUCUAAGAUGUCCAGUCACGGUUGCUAUAAGGAGCUCAUGGCUAGAGGCUUUCGGAGGAUGCGGAUAGAAAAGGAAUGUAGAAUAGCCCCAAUACAUCCACAUAUACAAAGGGAGUUUGAUCUUCCUUUCCUUCCUAGGUGUUCUGCCUCUGUUAUUUUCCUCUUAACAGAUGUCUGCUUCUGGAGAAACAGCACGACAACACCUGAUAUACAAAGAAAUGAGUUUUAUGCAGCUGCACUGCCCCAUGUGCCUUCAGCAAGAAA